rnacentral:misc_RNA from 1 species
CCGAGUUCUACACUCAUAACCCUUUGUGAACCAUUAUACCCUGUUGCUUCGGCGGCGCGCCUCCCCGGGGGCGUGCCCGCCGGUACAAUCAGUAUCUCUGUUUGAACCCGACGUUACAUCUGAGUGUUCUAAGCGAACUGUUA